GCUUGUGCCCCAGCUCUGCUCUUCUGAGAUGGGUUAUGUAUCAAGUUAUUGGAACCGCUGCAGUGCCUGUGGAAAAAAAAAAAAAGAAAAAGAGAUCACGUUCUUUGUCCUAACAGCCAGACACAGACUAUCAGUGAAGCCUGCACACGGCCCCUCAGACCAGGCUGCCACUGGGCACAUUGGUCAGACCUCCAGUAAAAAAAUGUAUGUUUUGAUUUGCCCGGUAAAUGCGUGUAUACAAAAGUCAUAUGUGUUAGAGUGUGUCUGUCUGCAGUGUGUGUGGUGAGGGUUGUCGUGACUUGCUUGUGCGUGUGCCAGUCAAUUGUAAGUGCACAACAGCCCUCCAUUUUAGAAAUAUAGGUUAAGUAUAUAGUGUGACACAGUUAUGUAAGCGAUGUCGGAAUGGGCAGGUAAUGCGAUCCUCGCCGGGUUUGUUUUGGCCAGAAAAAGACCUUGCGAUCCUCGCCGGGUUUGUUUUGGCCAGAUAAAGACCUUGCGAUCCUCCCCGGGUUUGUUUUGGCCAGAUAAAGACCUAGCCAAAUGUGUCUUUUCCACUUAUACUCCUCACUGCAGCCCCAGUGGGCUAAGAGAGUGCGGAGCGACUCCUCAGUCCGGAAAUUAGGCUCGUUCUAAUCACACUCCUUAUCAGUGUUCUGUAACCACCCGCCUGCCUCCCUCUUAACCCCCCCACCCCAGAUAACACUCAUUGUUGUAGUCAACGUUAUCCUGUCUAUGGCACGGCGGGGGCCAGAGGCAUAGACAGGUCUGUGUGUGGAGUGACUGCAGAGAUGGUAAUCGGUGGGUGACGCUGAAGCCAGAGUCUCGCUGGUGCAGUGGGGGGGUCUGUGCAGGGCCAGGCAAGGCUGAAUCGGGUGACCAGGCAAGUAGUUUAUCUCAGGACAGGAAAGGACAGGACAGGACAGUGUCCUUAUGUGCAUGCUCGCUCAUUUCAAAUCUUUCCUAUUAUAUGCUAUUCUUUCAGUUCAGGUCUUCAAUGGGAGGAAAUAGAAAGAUGUAUUUUCAAUGAUUCAUCAGAGCCUUAAAUCUUCUGUCAUAGACCCGCUCUAAUGAAUUUGAGUGAUGUUUAUCCACAUUCUUAAUCUUUAUAAACAUCUAGAUAGUCACUCUCCACAACAACUCAGCAGAAGUCAUAGUUCUACUUGUUUUCUGGUUUUAUCCACAAGGAAAUGACAUCUUCACUAUAGUGAUGGUUUGGGUUGAUUACCCUUGCUUGAUCUCUGUUAUUGUGCAAAUUCUUUAAAACAGCAGCAAGGGCUUCUAGUCUAAAGCCUCUGAACUAACUAUCUAAAUGGCAUGCAAAAACCUUGGGAAGACCAACCAACAACAGCCAAGAUGUCACUGAUAAAACUGGCUAGCCUGCUAACUGGUAUCUUCUGUAGUUGGCAGUGUCGUGCUGUGAACGCUUUUCCCAAUCUGGAUCACAGAGUUACGUAGUGCGUAGCCUGGAUGGCUAGUGGGGACAGCAGGUGUGUGUAUCUGUGCUUCACAUGACCUUUGAAGGUGGUGCCAAAACUAGUUGCCUAUAUACAAACAUACUUCCAAAGUAGCAAAUUACUGCAUAGUGUUGUUUUAAUGUCCCCACCUCCCAACAUUAAAAACAAACAUGCAUUUAGGCAAAUAGUUGCUUUCCUGGUGAGUUGGAUAAUAUACACAUAAUGAUAAUUGCAGAUAAGAAAAAUGUUCUGCUGUCUUUACUUUGAAAGGUCGGGAUGGUUAUUCAUGACUGGCCACUUUUGUGCUGGUGCUUCAUUUCCUCUCUAGCUAAAACUGCAACUCAGUGGAAUUAGAUUAUGGGAUGACAGCAAUUUGUAGCAAUUUAGCAGCAGAUUUGCCACUACUGCUUGUUUACAUAAGCACAUACAAGAGUGUUUUUGGAUUGAUGGUUAUCUGUCGUAUCAUGUGUCUUCAUUUACCUGUUGAAUGCCAGGUGCAGGAAACGGUGUCCAAUUGUGAAAGACUUGAGUUAGUCCUCAGGGCAGAAGUGGGGGUUCAAAAACAUGAAGACAACUUCUCAAGUCCCGUAUCUUUUGAAAUACUUGUAUAUGUCCUAGUUACACUUUGUCCAAUUUGUCCAAAGUGUUUCUGAAAGCCUCUGAAAAAAAUAUGUCCAUAAACUGUAAACCUUUGACCUAGAAGUACGACAUUAGAUGGUCCGACUUCGCUAUCGAGCUCAGCAGCUCUACAGACACAGAUCCUCGCCAGUGGUGUCCAGUGAGCGGCACACAAUGGUGUUCAUCACGUCAGUGGUCAGUGGUGUCCAGUGAGUAGCACACAAAGGUGUUCUUCACGUUCUCUCCCUCUGUGUCUGUCAUUGUGACCAGGCUUAAGUAAGGACGGCUAAAGGAAGCCUGCUUCGGAGUGUCUGUUCUUUGGCUUGAGUGAUUGAAGCCCAUGAGUCUAUAGUGCAGCCCUGCCAACAAGCACCGGCUUAUGUGUCAUUAAAUGGACUGUUGAGCAGUUGAUUCUGAAAGCGAGCCAGACUGUCAUUGUUUAGAGGCAGAGAGGUACUGUACGAGGGGUUUUCAGUGCUUUUCUGUAGACGUGCACUUGGUAUUAGAUGCCAAGGCUUUAGCGGGGAUAAGGCUAAGACAGUGUGCGUGUAAAAUAAAUAAAUUACAUUAAAUAAAAUCAGGUCAGGGAUUUGUCUCAGUUGGAACGAAUGAGACGCCCACCCACUGCAAUGAAUACGCUAUUGUUGAAUCUUUACAAAAGUGUCUCCUGGAAGAGGAGGUGAGAUGUUGUGCUUGGUGGGAGAAAAAGAGGUGUUGGGUUGAGAAAAAGGGGUAAAAAGACGAGAUCAGAUAACAGAGUGUUUUUCUUGCUGUUGUUGGCAAGUGUGACACUAUGGUAAAAAAGGAAACCAUGUAAACUGUUGGAAUAACUGGAGAAUAAUGUGUGAGAUACUAAGCGGGAGAAAGAAAAUAAACCGUUCAUAACUGCAAAAUAAAAGACAAAUCAAUCAGUGCUUUUUGUUGCAGCAGCAAAGCAUGCUGGGAAAACAAAUGGAUGCGCCAUUGCUAUAGACUAGAGGAUGUCUGGAUCCUGCCAGAACCCUUCUAAGGUUGUGUGGGAGACAGGAGGCAUCUGCCCAGACCAGCCCUUUUCCGUGGGUGAGGCGGAGGUGCCAGGAUUGCUGAAUGGGCGGCCAUCUGGGUGAGCUCACGUUCUGGCUACGGCUGAAUCCCCUCCGGCCAGCUCUGUGGGCUUCCUCCGCGGCCAAGGUCAGGGGUUCAGGCCAAGGUCAGGGGGUCAGGGGUUCAGGUCACAGCCAUGGCACUGCCACUGGAGGGGGCGGUCUCUGCUUAUAGAAGGGAAGGAGGGCAGUUUUACGCAAAGACGGAAGAAGACAGAGUUCAUUCAUCAUGCUAUUAAACUUC
ensembl:lncRNA